rnacentral:rRNA from 1 species
UAGGGAAUAUUGCGCAAUGGGCGAAAGCCUGACGCAGCAAUUCCGCGUGGAGGAUGAAGGUCUUUGGAUUGUAAACUCCUUUCGGUGGUGACGAUAAUGACGGUAGCCACAGAAGAAGCCCCGGCUAACUCCGUGCCAGCAGCCGCGGUAAUACGGAGGGGGCUAGCGUUGUUCGGAAUUACUGGGCGUAAAGCGCACGUAGGCGGAUUGGAAAGUCAGAGGUGAAAUCCCAGGGCUCAACCUUGGAAC